UAAAGUCUUUAUUCUAUACAUUCUGAUGUACAAAUUUUAAUGAUUUCUUGAAUUUUUUUCUAUAUAUAUACAUUUUUAUUAGUUUGGUUUCCUACAUAUUUAGUUUAAUUCAACAAAUAUUGGCAUAUUGGUAUAUGCCAAUCUUUGAAAUUGCAUGACUGGGAACAUAAAACUAACAAGGAAUAAUACCUGCUCUUAAGGAGCUUACAGUCUCCAUUAAGGAAGUAAGACAAGGACCUAAUAGUUAUGAUAUAAAGCAAAAUAUCCAUAAAAGGGGUGCCAAAAGGUGUUAUGGAGUCCAAGAAGUUAAUCAGAAUAAAAAGUAGCACUUGACACGAAUGUUCAAGAAUGAGUAGGACUCCUACCUCAAGAUUAUAAGCUAGAAGUCACUUAAGUCAAGUGGAAUAGUAAGGUAAAGCUUAAAGAAUUUAGAAAGUGUGAAUACGUUCUAGGGAGAGUAUGCUUUUCAGUAAAAUUGCAAUGCAUAGUAAUCUGGCAAGAUAUAUUAUAAACAUUUUAAAAAAUAUUUGGGUACACACUUAGGAUUUUGUACCUUUGUCAGCAUACAAUAGGUAGAUACUAAGGAUCCCUGAGCAGGGGACCAAAAUAUUUGAGGCUCCACAUUCUUGUAAAGGAGUACAGUUAUCUUUAGGAAGACAAAUUUGACAUGGUUAUGAUGAUGAAUCUCGGGUACAAGGGUAAUGACAUGAGUUAGUAUGUAUUACAAUGUCAAGACAGGUUCUGUCUGAAUUUCUUUGAAAGCAGAAUGAAAUCUUAAAAGGCUUAGAGAUGACAGAAUAAGGAAGCAAUACUGAUUAAGUUUUGGAUACAACACAUGGAGGCAAAGAUGAUUCUAUGGGUUUUGAAUAUAUUUGAACAUAGUUGACCAGAAAAAUGGGAGCAUAAUGGUGACCAAAUUAACCAAGAUAGAGAAUUCAGAAGAAUAUCAUAAUUCAGGAGAAAAAAUGUUUUUUAGUGAUGAAGUGGAAACUGAUUUCUGAUUUGGACUGUAGAGUGUAUGAUUCAUCAUACAUUUUGAAUCUAUAUGACAAAUAUAGUCUGGGAGAUUGAAGUCAGUUUGAUAUCAUCCAUUGAGAUGUAGUUCUUAUAAUGGGUGGGAUGAACAUAGACCUAUGGAAAACAACUACAGUUAAAGAUAAAAGAAGAAAUAGGUGGUAUGUGAAGCAAUAGAUAGAUAGUAUUCAAAACAAUUAGGAAAAACCAGCAAACACAGUAACACCAACACAUUUUAAUUUCAAAAUUAAAAAGUGUGAUGAACAAUACAAAAUGGCUGAAGAGAAUGAAUCUUCGGGGAAAUCUUUUGACUUGGCUUCUAAGGGAUCAAUAGAGGGGAAAUAUAGUCAUUCAUUGUCAUUUAGCAAAUAUUUGAGACCCUCCUAUGAAUUUUUUUUAAAGGUAACCAAAACAAGCAUAUUUCCCCUGGCUUCCUAGAGCUUACAGUGUAAUAGGCUGGUAAUUAACUGACAAUAAUAAAACACACAAAUAUUCAAUUAAACUUUUGAGGAAUGUUCUAAGGAAAAGGGUAAAUAUAAUAGAGAAAACCUAUUUGGCCUAAAUGAUAAAGAAAGGAUUUUCAGAGGAGUGUAUGUAUAAGCUAAGAUCAGGAAUGAACUGGACAAAGGAAGAGGGGCUUAGAGCAUUAAGAGACAAAACAAAAGCAGACACAACCCUGAGUAUGGAGAUGGCACUGGGGAAAUGAAAAAAAAAAAGUUCUGAAGCAAUGUGAGUGAAGGUGGUAGGAUAAUCAUUCAUUUCUUUAUUUAAAUCUGAUGAUAGAUUAUGAAAUAUGAUAUGUCUUGGGGAGUACCAGUGCCCAUCAAACAGGAGCUGUAAGGCUGGAUUGGUGAGAAGAAACCAGGUCAUGCAGGCUUUAUGUCCUACUUUAAGGAAUUCUGUCUUUAUUUGGUGAGCAACUGGGAGAUUUUAAAAGGCUGCAAGAAGGAGAAUGUGUAUAGUACUUGCAUUUUAAGACAAUCACAUAAGCUAUAACAUAGAGAAUGACUAGAGACAGCAGGAUUGGAUGUAAAGGUCUACAAGAAGAAGUUAUUGCAGUAUCCUAGCAAGAGUACAUGGUAACCUAGUCUGGGGUAGGGACAUUAGACAUGACAAGAUAGAUUUGAAAUAUAUUCAGGAGGCAAAACAAAUAGGUGUGGUGAUUGAUUGAAUAGAGGGAGUGAAGAAUGUGGAGGUAUCAAGGUUGAUUCCCAGUUUUCUGGCUUAAAUUUUAGUGACUGUUGCUGCCAUUCCAUACAAGAGGAAUACUAGAGAAGCAUAGGGUAUUAAUACACGAGUGAAAAACAAAGUUUUAACAUUUUUAUUCAAUAAAGGUAAUGAAAACCAUCAAUUUAGCUGCAUAAUCUUAGUCCCAUUUCUGACUGAUAAUAAGCAUUGGUCUGAUGUUUGGUUGAGAGUAGCAGGUUUGUCCAUGGAGUUCGUCUCUCCAUGUACAGCUAAUUAGUAUGGGGUUUGAGUCUACAGCACUGGCCUCAUUACCACAUGCCCAAAUCAACAGGGCUAGCCAGGCCAGACAGAUGAAAAGAAAUGCAUUCACUGUGACGGCGAUUACUUUCAUAUGCAGUGCACUAUUUUCCAGAACAAAUAAAUACAGUUGAGAGACUAUAACUAAGAUCAACAAAUAAUUAGUGUACUGGAAAGAAGGGAUAAAAGUGGGAAAAGUCUUAAAGCACAUGUCCAUUAUAUUCCAACACAGAAAUUCUGCAUGUUUCUUCUGGCAUUUAAACUCAUCAUUGUUACCAAUCAUUAAUACAUAUAUUAUAGUUUUCAUGAACUCACAAUCAAGAUUUUUUCUUUUCUUCCAACUAAUAUUCCCAGCCUAAACUUUGAAUUAAGUAUCUUCACCAAGUAGAGCAUAUUUUGACUCUUCAACCUACUUGAUUUCCUCUGCCAAUGUGCGCCAUUAAGUAAUAUUUGCCUUUGAUAAUUAUCCUGUUUUCAGUAUCCCAGCACAUCCCUAGGACUUCACUAGGCAGACGUGGUUCUCCUUACUGUAUUAUACUUCCCUUGUAGAAUGCCUAAAGCUUUAUUUUCUAGGCCAAAUCUAGAAAGGAUCCACUUUUGAAAAAUAAAACCCCCAAAGAAAACUUUUCCUUGCACUAAACCAUUUUCUUCCUUUUCUCUCAUCAGGUGUUUUCCUUCUUUUUUUUAAGACAACAACAUUAACAUAUGCUCAAUGUAAAAAAAAAAAAGUACCCAGAAAGAAAAUAGAAAAUGAAUAAAAAAGGAAACUGCUUCAUUAUAUCUACCAGGCAGUAAGAAUCCUAGCAAUUUAGGGUAUACAUGUUUUUAUAAAUAUAUCAGAUGACAUUUAACUUUAUGUAUUUUUUUAGCCUAACAACAUAUAGUGUACAUAUUUAUAUGUUAAUACAUAUAUCCUAUGUUGAGUUUGAGCCCAUUUUCUUAAACAGAUUCUUGCUUCUCUCUUCCACAAAUAAAUCAUUUUUCAGUUCUUUCAUAAGUAGUGUUUGAGACAAGGGUUUCAAUGCAGUGUUUUAUCUGGAUGGUGAUGCCAGUAAAUUCUGAGAUGUGAGGAAAUGAGAAAGGGAAGUUAAGACAACCAAUAAAGGAUUGCUCUUGAUCCAGGGACCAUGGUGAGUAAUAAACUCGGUCUCACUGGAGAACUCUGGGUGUCUAUAAAACAGGCUCCUCAGAGCUAUUCUCCCUCAGGGAUGGAAAGCUGAGGAGUUGAUCCAAGGCUGCUGGUGCAGGGUGGGGAAACAGGAGAGUGGUUGUGGUGGUGUUAAAUGUCUGACACUUUUGAAUGACAAUCAUGGAUAGGUCCUAGUUCCUGAAAAAAUCUCACAUGCAAUCAGCUGUCCUCAGGAUGCACUGUGCUAUUAAAGCUGGAGUAGAUAUAAGAGCACAAAUGCUUUAUGUCAUGCUCCCUUUCUGAUGGGCAAUUAGAUCGUUUCCAUUUCUUUCAACAUUAUGAACUACCACAAUAUCCUUAUAUAUAAUUAUUUGUAUGACUGAUUUUUUACAUGAUAUAAUUCCUAUUAGUGAUAUUAAAGGGUAAUACAAAAAAUUCAAGGUUGUAAUCUGUGGGUAUGUUUUGGGAUAAAGAGAGGCAACUUUCUUCUUCUUAAAUGAAUGUUUCUAUGGAAUGUCAGAUAAUAUAUAAUUAACUUUAAAUGUUACCUUCUAAAUUUAGAUUUAAUACUUAAAAUAUCUAACUUUUAGCCACAUUUAUUUGAUAAUUUUACAUAUUUCAUCAUUGCUAUGAAAAAAGCCAGUACUUUGAGUUAAAAUAAAUGUACCUAACAUAAUACAAGUCUAAAAAUUUGUUUUAUUUUCUAUUUUAAGGGCAACGUUGAUUUGAAAAUUACAAUGGCAAGAAAAUAUUUAGUAGUUAAGCCUAGACAAAGCAUCCUUAGACUUUACAUCAAAAAAGCACAAUCCAUAAAGGAAAAAUAAAUAAAUUGGACCUUAUCAAAACUAAAAACUUUUUCUCUGCAAAAUACCAUGUGAAAAGGAUGAUAAGACAAGGUGCAGGCAGGGAGAAAAUAUUUGAACACCACACAUCUGGCAAAUGACUUUGAUGUUGAAUAUAAAAAGAGCUCUCAAAACUAAACCAUUUAAAAAUGCAAUUAUAAAACAAGCAAAGGACAUGAUUAGACAUUUCACAGAAGAGGAGAUUCAGAUGGCAAAUGAAAAGAUGUUCCACUUUAUUAGCUUUUAGGAAAAUGCAAACUAAAACCGCAAUGAGAUAUCACUAUACACCUAUCAGAAUAGUUAAAACAAAAACAAAACAGUGACAAUAACAUAUGUUGGUGAGAAUGUACAGAAAUUUGAUCACUCAUACAUUGUUGGCAGAAAUGCAAAAUGAUAUACUCACUCUGGAAAGCAAUUUGGCAGUUUCUUAUACAACUAAACAUGCAACUACUAUGUUGCAUGCCAUUAUACUCCUGGACAUUUAUCUCAGAGUAAUGGAAAUCUAAGUUCACAGGAAAAUGUGUACAUGAAUGUUUGUAGCAGCUUUAUUUAUAAUAGCCCUGCACUGGAAACAAUCCAGAUGUCCUUCAAUGGAUAAAUGGUUACACAAAAGGUAGUACGUGCAUACUACACAAUAUUACUCAGCAAUAAAAAGGCACAAUCUAUUGAUACAUACCACAACUUGGAUAAAUCUCCAAGAAAUUAGGCUGAAAAAAGCAACUCCCCAAUAUUUAUGUAGCGUAUAAUACCAUUUAUGUAACAUUCUUGAAUUGACAAAACUGUAGAAAUGGAGAACAGAUUAAUUGUUGCCAGUGGUGUAGAAUUAGCUGGCCAAAGGGAGAUGUAUUGUCAAAAGGCAACACUAGAGCGAUCCUUGUGGUGAUUGAACUGUUGUGUAUUGACUGUGGUGAUGGAUACAUGAACCUAUAGAUGUGUUUAAAAUACACAGAAUUAAAUACACACUUACACGCAAGCACAAAUAAAACUGGGGAACAAGAUUAGUGGAUUGUAUCAAUGUCGAUGUGUUUGUGAUAUUGUACUACAGUCUUAAAAGUUAUCAUUGGGGGAAAACAGGUAAAGUGUAUAUGAAACCUUUGUGUUAUCUCUUACAACUGCAUGUAAAUCUAUGUCAAAAUAAAAGGUUAAAUUUUUACAAAUUAGCAACAUUUCUGUCUAGAAUAUAUGUACAUAUAUAAAUAUUAAUGAUUAACUUUUGAAGAAUGCCAAACUUGUGCUUAUUCACUAAAAAAUGUCUAAUUUUUCUAAUUGUUUACAUUCUAAAAUAAGCAUGAUUAUUCAAAAGUCAUUUAUAUUAGAAAGUAAUACCAGAGAACUUACUUCAUUUGAGGGCUAAUACAAUUUAUGUCAGUUACAUAACAAUAUUAAAAUAUUUGCAUCAUUAAAAUAUUGUGGAAAAUUCUUCCUUGUCUAUCCUCAAGAUAAAACAAGGUUAAAAAAAGGGUUUUUCAUGAAAAAAAUUUAAAAUUAUUUAGAAGACAGAUUACUGCAUUAAGCCAUUAUUUUGAAAAAAAAAUCUAAAAUGGUUUCUUUGCUAAAUAUUAUACCUGAUAUGCCUUACCUCAUUUAAUCAUCAUGGCAUCAUGAGAUGGGUAUUAUUAUUGCUGCGCCUUUUUUUUACAGGUGAGUAAGCACUUACGUAGCACUUCUUAUUUACCAGUAAUAUUCUAAGUGUUUUACAUAUAUUAGCUCAUAAAUUAGGCAAUAUACUACCUCCUUUUACACAUGAAGGAAUGGAGGGAAAUUGUAUAGGAAGAAUCCAGGCAGUCUGGCUCCAGACUGCUCUAUGGUGUGUCCAAGGGACACUAAGGAACAGAGAACUUAAACCAUCUACAUAAGGUCACACAGCUACUAAUGGUAAAAUCACGAUUUGAACGUACAUUCUUUCCACUACACCAAUGUUUACCAAAUUCUGAUUUUUUGAUCAUAUACACCAGAAUUAUUUAAGCAGCUUGUUUAAAACCUAGGCCCUCUCCCUUCCACCAUCUCUAUUGACCGUAAACCUCUGGUGCCAAAACCUUGGAAUCUCAAUUGUCAAUAACCAUCCUAGGAGGUUUUGAUUAACAUUAAAUUCCCAAUCUGGCUGCAUUCUAAUACACAAAGCAGGUUUCCUAUGAGAUUCAAAUGAAAUAUCUGGAAUAAUUAUAAAUGAUGCCAUAUUUUAUCAAUUUUAAUGUUAUUUAUUUAUUUAUUUAUUUAUUUAUUUAUUUAUUUUGAGAAGGAGUUUUUGCUCUGUUGCCCAGGCUGGAGUGCAAUGGUACAAUCUCAGCUUACUGCAGCCUCCACCUCCUGGGUUCAAGCGAUUCUCCUUCCUCAGCCUCCUGAGUAGCUGGGACUACAGGCGCCCGCCACCACAUCAAGCCAAUUUUCAUAUUUUUAGUAGAGAUGGGGUUUCACCAUGUUGGCCAGGCUGGUCUCGAACUCCUGACCUCAGGUGAUCCACCCAUCUCGACCUCCUAAAGAGCUAGGAUUACACAAGAGCUAGGAUUACAGGCGUGAGCCACCAUGCCUGGCCAGUUAAUGUUUAAUUUUUAAGAACACUUUAACAUCUCUGAAAUAGGACUGACUGUUAAAACUGGUGGUUCUUGUAAUCACAAUAAAAACAGGUUUUUUUUUCUUCUUCAUGCUACGUAAAAUAAUGUUGCUUUAGAUUUGUUAAUGUAUGCAGGUUCACUGGGUAUUAAAAUACAAGGGACAUUGCUUAUUAAGCACUAUAUAUAUAUAUAUAUAUAUAUAUUUUUUUUUUUUUUUGCUCCUGGGUCACAUGUGAAAGGGUGCCCUUCUACAUGCCGUAAGAGUCAGGGUUCUGGAAAAAAAAUCGUAAGUCUUCCAUCAUAUGUAGAAUCACAUAUACUACGUGUAAGUCACUAACCCAUGAACAGAUAAAAUAAUGAGUUUGAGAACACUUUGAAAAUGAUAAAUCAUUAUGUAAAUGCUGUGUGUGUAUGAAUGUAAGCAUAAGCAUGGGCUUGAAGUAAUAUUAUUAGAGAAAGUAGAAAUAACUUGAUGCUCAUUUCCAAACUUGGCACAUGUGCAUUGUAACAGACAUCAUGAUUUUCAACAUUCUUCUUUUUCUUUCUCUAAUAAUAGGAAGCAUAUCAGUAAAGAGUGCUCUUUAAUGCUUGCUAUACUCUAGGAAAUUAUUUAAGUGCUUUUCACAGAUUAUCUCAUUUGAGCCUCCCAUGAAUCCUGUAAAAUACCAUAUUAUUACUGUAGCUAUUAUGCCUAUUUUACAGGAGAAAAAAACUGAGUUGUAGGAACAUUAAAUAAGUUGAUUAAAAUUACUUAAUGAGAAAGUGCUAGAGUAAAAGUGUGAGCAGAAGCACUCUGAGACAGGAAUUUGCUUGUUGAAAUAUGUCUUAAAGUAAAAUUUACUGUAAACUAACCUACAUUAUGUGACUUCACAUAACACAGGAAGGAGAAAGUGGACAGAGAAGCCAAGAUGUAAAUAGUCACUGAAAAGGAAAGAGGAGAAAGCAAGAAGAACAUGAGGUAAAAUAUUUGCAAAUGUGUUUAUUGCAACUCCUUUUCAAACUUACUUUAUUUGAACACUUUAUUUUCACUUUCUAGAUUUUAUGUCUCUACCAAAUGAAUUUGAUUACAAAAUUUUCCUUUUGUCUCUCUUGUACUGAUGUGAGCACUCAUUUAACUAAUUUCAUUUUAACUACAUUAUCCAUAUCUAUUCAUAUUGUCCCCAUCUAUGUGACUUCAUUGUCUAUGAUUCUGUUCUAUAAACUCUGCAAUUCUGUUCUUUGAUCCACUGCAUGUAUCUGACAGUUGGACAUUCUUCUCAUUCUAUCUACGUUUUCUGUAUUGGGCAUGCAAGCUGAACCUAUUCUCAGGAAAAUUAUGAAAUGAAUGUAGUCUUUCAAGUCCUAUACAUCUUCUUUUAGCAUGCUUCUGCUUCUUUUUCCUAGUGCUUUCUGGAGAUCUCUUCUAUGAAAUUACAUUGAUUUUAUUAGUGAAAGAUGAAGUUGGUGCUCAUUUCUAGGCUAACUGAAAAAUGCAAUAACUCCUCAUUGACAUCAACUACCCAGUUGCAAGAAGAGUGUACCUUCUGCUUUGGUGAGACACAGAUGACACAAUUAGUAAACAGUAGUCAUCAACCAAGAAGCAAAUUAAUUUGGGGUAAAGAUUUUCCAGUUUAAAUGUCUGUUGAUUGGCCCUCAUCUUUGAAAGGCACAUUAAAAAAAAAGUUUUGUGGUAAAUAAUACGCAUUCACAAGAAUACUUGGAAAUCAGUCUAUAAAAAUCAGAUUAUUCCAUCACCAUCUUUCAAAUCACUAAUCAGAGCAAAGAAAAAUCGAUCAUGUAAAACACCACAGCCAGGUUCAUACAGUCUUAAUUACAUAACUAAAUGAAUUAAUUGUUCUUCAAGUUACACAUUUUAUUGACAUAUAUGUUUAUUAUAAAGUUUUUAAAAUAAAAAUGCAUGUUUGGUGAAGUUAAUACAAUUGUAAUUUGUAUUUCAUCAUAUUUUAAAAUACAAAAGAAUUGAAUUGCUUUUACUCUAUUACAUGAUGUAACUGACUAGCUGGGUUGUAAUUCUCAAUAUUAUAAUUAUCAUAAUUCAUUGCCAUGCCGAAGUCAAUUCUGUGAUAUGUGUGAAAUAAAAUACCUUUAGUUUAGCCUAUUGCAUGACAUUGUGGUGUACCAUGCAUCUUUCAAAUCUCUUAAAGAAAAGUUAAUGGCAGGCCAAACUUGUGACAAAGUACUGUGAAUAACACGGAAGGAGGAAACAUUUUAAACGGGGAUAUAUAGCAUAUUGUGAUUUGUGGUGGAAUUAAAAAACACGUAGCAGGAAAAAGAAAAAAAAAGAGUGUACCUAGGUAUGUAUAUAAUGUACUUAAGAGAGGACUCAGAUUUUUAAAAUGGACAAAAUAAAAAUUGCAUUAUUUUUAAAUACUGCAUAGUCAAUGAGCAUUUGAUGUAAAUCUUACAAAUAUGGUUGGGUGUUUUCUUCUCAGUUUAGGGCUUGUUGAAAAGUAGUACUAUUAGGCAUAGUUUGGCACUUCUGGCAAUGUUAGUGACUUUAGUGAAUUUCAUUAUAUCUAUGAUGCAUUUUAUAUAUCACUACAAAGAAAUGCUGCCAAUUGCAAUUAAAAUAGGCCCAAUUGCAGAGAUGUUAACAUGUAGAGAGACAAGCAUUCUUGAACUCAUGAAAUAGAAUAAUACUCCAAAUUAAUUGGGAU
rnacentral:lncRNA from 1 species